rnacentral:rRNA from 1 species
GACGAACGCUGGCGGCAUGCCUAAUACAUGCAAGUCGAGCGAACAGAUGAAGUGCUUGCACUUCUGACGUUAGCGGCGAACGGGUGAGUAACACGUAAGGAAUCUACCUAUAAGCGGGGGAUAACAUUCGGAAACGGGUGCUAAUACCGCAUAAUAUCUUCUUCCGCAUGGAAGAAGAUUGAAAGACGGCUCUGCUGUCACUUAUAGAUGACCUUGCGGUGCAUUAGUUAGUUGGUGGGGUAAUGGCCUACCAAGACGAUGAUACAUAGCCGACCUGAGAGGGUGAGCGGCCACAUUGGGACUGAGACACGGCCCAAACUCCUACGGGAGGCAGCAGUAGGGAAUCUUCCGCAAUGGGCGAAAGCCUGACGGAGCAAUGCCGCGUGAGUGAAGAAGGCCUUCGGGUCGUAAAACUCUGUUAUAAGAGAAGAACAAAUUGUAGAGUAACUGCUACAGUCUUGACGGUAUCUUAUCAGAAAGCCACGGCUAACUACGUGCCAGCCGCCGCGGUAA